AAAAUGCGAUAAGUAAUGUGAAUUGCAGGAUUCAGUGAAUCAUCGAAUCUUUGAACGCACAUUGCGCCCGCCAGUAUUCUGGCGGGCAUGCCUGUCUGAGCGUCAUUUCAACCCUCGGGACCCCGUUCGCGGGACCCGGCGUUGGGGAUCAGCCCGAAGCCCCCCCGGGGCGGGCGGCUGGCCCCGAAAUCUAGUGGCGGUCCCCCCAGCGACCUCCUCUGCGCAGUAGUAACUCACCUCGCAGCUGGACAGCGGGAGGGCCACGCCGUAAAACCCCCAACUUCUCAAAGGUUGACCUCAGAUCAGGUAGGAAUACCCGCUGAACUUAAGC
rnacentral:misc_RNA from 1 species